AGUGGAAGAGGAGCAGCUGAUCUU
rnacentral:siRNA from 1 species